rnacentral:rRNA from 1 species
UACAGAGGUGGCAAGCGUUGUUCGGAAUCACUGGGCUUAAAGCGUGUGUAGGCGGACCAGAAAGUGUCUUGUGAAAUCCCUCGUCUUAACCGAGGAACGGCUCGGCAAACUCCUGGUCUUGAGGUAGGCAUGGGUGCUUGGAACUCUUGGUGGAGCGGUGAAAUGCGUAGAUAUCAAGAGGAACGCCUGUGGUGAAAACGGAGCACUUGACCUAUUCUGACGCUGAGACACGAAAGCGUGGGGAG